UGGGGAAUAUUGGACAAUGGGCGCAAGCCUGAUCCAGCCAUGCCGCGUGAGUGAUGAGGGCCUUAGGGUUGUAAAACUCUUUCACCGGUGAAGAUGAUGACGGUAACCGGAGAAGAAGCCCCGGCUAACUUCGUGCCAGCAGCCGCGGUAAUACGAAGGGGGCUAGCGUUGUUCGGAAUCACUGGGCGUAAAGGGCGCGUAGGCGGCUGUUUAAGUCGAGGGUGAAAGCCCGGGGCUCAACCCCGGAACGGCCUUCGAGACUGGGCAGCUCGAGACCGGAAGAGGAGGGUGGAAUACCCAGUGUAGAGGUGAAAUUCGUAGAUAUUGGGUGGAACACCAGUGGCGAAAGCGGCUCCCUGGUCCGGAUCUGACGCUGAGGCGCGAAAGCGUGGGGAGCAAACAGGAUUAGAUACCCCUGUAGUCC
rnacentral:rRNA from 1 species